UACGUAGGGUGCAAGCGUUGUCCGGAAUUAUUGGGCGUAAAGAGCUCGUAGGCGGUCUGUCGCGUCGGAUGUGAAAACCCAGGGCUCAACCCUGGGCCUGCAUUCGAUACGGGCAGACUAGAGUUCGGUAGGGGAGACUGGAAUUCCUGGUGUAGCGGUGAAAUGCGCAGAUAUCAGGAGGAACACCGGUGGCGAAGGCGGGUCUCUGGGCCACUACUGACGCUGAGAAGCGAAAGCAUGGGGAGCGAACAGG
rnacentral:rRNA from 1 species